rnacentral:rRNA from 1 species
CUACUCUUGACAUCCACGGAAUUCGGCAGAGAUGCCUUAGUGCCUUCGGGAACCGUGAGACAGGUGCUGCAUGGCUGUCGUCAGCUCGUGUUGUGAAAUGUUGGGAUAAGUCCCGCAACGAGCGCAACCCUUAUCCUUUGUUGCCAGCGAUUCGGUCGGGAACUCAAAGGAGACUGCCGGUGAUAAACCGGAGGAAGGUGGGGAUGACGUCAAGUCAUCAUGGCCCUUACGAGUAGGGCUACACACGUGCUACAAUGGCGCAUACAAAGAGAAGCGACCUCGCGAGAGCAAGCGGACCUCACAAAGUGCGUCGUAGUCCGGAUCGGAGUCUGCAACUCGACUCCGUGAAGUCGGAAUCGCUAGUAAUCGUGGAUCAGAAUGCCACGGUGAAUACGUUCCC